rnacentral:rRNA from 1 species
GUGGGGAAUAUUGGGCAAUGGGGGCAACCCUGACCCAGCGACGCCGCGUGAGGGAAGAAGGCCUUAGGGUCGUAAACCUCUGUUGUGUGGGAAGAAGGAAGUGACGGUACCACACGAGGAAGUCCCGGCUAACUACGUGCCAGCAGCCGCGGUAAUACGUAGGGGACGAGAGUUGUCCGGAAUUACUGGGCGUAAAGGGCGCGUAGGCGGUCAUUUAAGUCAGCUGUGAAAUGGUCCGGCUCAACCGGAUAAUGCGGUUGAAACUGGAUGACUGGAGUGCUGGAGAGGCAAGGGGAAUUCCCAGUGUAGCGGUGAAAUGCGUAGAUAUUGGGAAGAACAACGGUGGCGAAGGCGACUUGCUGGCCAGCAACUGACGCUGAGGCGCGAAAGCCAGGGGGGCAAACGGGAUUAGAAACCCCAGUAGUCC